CUCAGAUAUAGCUGCUGUAUUGACAUCUCCUCUCUAAUUGUCUGAAGAAUUGGUUGUUUGGUAGGAGGGCAGAUAUAAGAGGAUCUCAAAGGUGGAUAAAGAUACUGGACUAUGAACUUCCCCUGUUGUUGUGAGCAGUGAUCUGUCAGCAAAUAAUGGUGACUUACAGGUGGAAAAAGGAACAAAAGCACCAUUCUUAAGCUGCCCCUUCUGGUUCAGGAAUUGCUGGGGAUUAAAAUCUUAUGGCUUGGAGAAAAGAUUUGGGUCUCUCUCAGCAUACAGCUGAGUACAGGAACACUUCAAUACCCUCCUUGCCUUUCACCUCCGGUUGCUUCAUGAGAACCAAAAGCCAAAAUGCAGAGCUGUGUUGA
rnacentral:lncRNA from 1 species